UAGUGUUACUGCUCUUUUUGAACUUGUCCAGCAGUUUUAAUCCAUUUUUUUCUGAAAAGUCCAC
rnacentral:snRNA from 1 species